rnacentral:tRNA from 1 species
GUUAAUAUAGUUUAAAAAAAAACAUAGAUUUUUCAAACCUAAAAAGGAUUUUAUCCUAUUAAUA